UUUUAUCUAGAAUCUAGAUAUCAAACUUUUAUAAUGAUAGUUAUAACUUAGUCUUGGCAAAUCAAAUUCAGAAUUAACCAAAAUUCCUUUUUGACCUGAAAUCAAAAACAAAUUAGUUUACUAAUUUGUAAAAACAUCUUUGUUUUUACUUCUCUGAAACAAAUGAAGAUAGCUGGAUUUUUUUUUCUUUUAAGAGAUCAAAGCAAGAUUAAGCAUCUCAUACCUAUCUUAAGCUGCUCAGAACCCCAUAUCUUUUCUUUCCAUUUUGUUUCCUCUGUUAACAUUUGGCAAGAAGGAUUUUAUAAGUUUAAUAUGUAUACAUGACUACAGUCAUUUAUUCUCAUUAAUAUCACUAGCUAUAAGUAGUGGACUGGUUCUGUGGGAGUUUUUUAUAUGAUAUCAGAGUUUAAAUGAUUCGUAAUUGGUAUCUGAGAAUCUCAUUCCAUAGGUCUUUUACUCGUGUACAGUGUUGUCAGAUUGGGGAUAUUUGCUUGAUUUUUACCCAGAUUCCUUACUAAUAUAUUUUAAACAAGUAGGGUAAUUAUUAUUAUUAUUUUUUUUGGUGGGGGGUGGUUGAGGGGGCGGUAACUUUUGUCAAGUAUUUGUUUCCUUAUUGACAACUCAUUGGGUUGUUGUGGAAAUUCAAUUUUUAAUUAUUUUUUUUUAGCGGAGUCUCACUCUGUCACUCAGGCUGGUGUGCAGUGGUGCAAUCUCAUCUCACUGUAACCUCCACAUCCCAGCUUCAAAGGAUUCUUGUGCCUCCUUCUCCCGGGUUCAAGCACUUAGCCUCCUGAGUAGCUGGGAUUACAGGUAUAAGUCACCAGGCCCAGCUAAUUUUUGUAGUUUUAGUAGAGACAGUGUUUUGCCACUUUGGGAGGCUGAGGCAGGUGGAUUGCCUGAGGUCAGGAGUUCGAGACCAGCCUGGCCAACAUGGUAAAACCCUGUCUCUCCUAAAAAUACAAAAAUUAGCCGGGCAUGAUGGCAGGCGCCUGUAAUCCCCGCUACUUGGGAGGCUGAGCCAGGAGAAUCGCUUGAGCCUGGGAGGCAGAGGUUGCAGUGAGCCGAGAUUAUGCCACUCCAGCCUUGGCUACAGAGCGAGACUCCCUCUCAAAACAACAACAACAACAAAAACCCAAAUCUCAUCCAUUUACCCAUAUGUAGCAGGCAAGAACUGAAUGGCAAGAUACCAGGGAAGUGGCAUGAUGACAUGGCUGUUUAUUUCAAUACAGUUUUGAGACACAGGAAGUGUUGAACCUGGCUUUGGGUUUGCCACAGAAUACUGAGUCUCUAUAGAUAAUAUGGGUAAAAUUUCUUUAGGUGUAUGUAACAUGACCUACUUGCUCAGCUAAGAGUGCUGAUUAAGUCCAUGUUUUCCUAGUUAUUCAAAAUAAUAUAUUUCUAAGUCUUAUCCUGUGUGAAAAUGGUUUAAAGUUCUUUUUUCUUCAAGUUCUCUUCAUAGAUAUUUCCAAGGAGUUUCCUGGAUUGUAUUCAGUUUACAGGGUUCUUUCUUAGUUAUUACUAUAGGAGAAAAGUGUGUUUCUGCUACUGCAGGACAUGGGUGGGAAGGAGUGAGUACGGACAGGUGACACAUCAGAGCCCAGGGGAUGUGAGGGGGAAGGAAUGGGUCUGUGCAGCUGUACAGCGUGAUGAUAAGGGGUCGGAUUCAUGUUGGGUGAGAAGGGAAUCCAUGGUGCAGUGAAGUUCCUUAGUGUGGAGUUUCAGAGCCCAAGUGGGAUGAGGUUGACAUCUACACCAGGGAGGUGGUAGCUGCAGAGAUAGAAGAUUGGUUACAUAUGGAAGGAGAGGGAUUGAUAAAUACAGUGAGGGUGAUGAGAGCAGGUUUCUCAUAGUAAUAAGAGAGUUCCAAAUAUGGAAAGGAAGAAAACUACAAUAAACCUUGUGGUAUUAGAUAGGAAUAUUGUGGUUGUUUCAAUUUUAAAAUAUUUUAAAUUAUCGAAGUAAUUUAUAAAUAAUUUUGAAACAAUAUAGCUUAAAAUGAAGGUAUAUAAGUUUAUAAAUGGAGCCAAAUAUUAUGUAUAUACUCCUGAAGUGUUGCCAGACUUUGCUGAGCUUUGAAAAGAACCAUAUGGUCCAUGGAUUUCCUCGGAUUAUAUGUAAAUUUGCAUGUGUGUGAAUUUUUUUUCGGGAGAAAGAAUGCAUAGUUUUCAUUAAAUUCUCAGAGGGGUUUGUGAUGCAAAAAAUGUUGAACUUUUUUUUAUAUAUAUGUAACUGAGGGGACUCUGAGUUUAUUUUUAGAAAUCCUCCUGCAGCUUACGUUAAUAGAGCAUGUGUGGCCUAAUUAAAUGUAGGUUUUAAAUCAGUCUUCAUAUAUAUGAGGAAUUAACAUUUUAUUGAAUACCUUUUAAUGCCUAGAAGAAAAAGUACUAUUAUACAUUGAUUCAUUUUCACAGCAAUGAUUUAUUCUCCCAACAAUGAUACAAAGUAAUUAUUAUCCUGUUGUGCUGAUGAGGAAACUGAGAUUGGGAUUAAAAAGGUUGCCCAAUGUUAAAAAACUAGCAAGAGGCCAAGUAAGGUAGUAGGUGUUCUUUCUGCUCCUCCACACUCUUAUCUCCAGUGGAGUGCCUGCUGUGUUCAGGGCAUUGCACAGGGUGCUGGUGAUGUAAUACUGAACACAACAGACUCUUACCCCAACCUUGUAAAGAAUAUAGGGGAAUUAGGUAUAGGGAAUUUUAAACUAUUGAGAAUGCAUUUAUUUCAGAUAUUCCUUAUAUUGCUCCAUUUGCUCUUUUAAGAAUGCUAGCAAUGUUUAUUGUAUUUCCUUAAGCCACCCAAUACCUUUAGGGGAAAACACCUAUUAUUCAAAUGCACAAGUGAGGCAGAGUAUAAAUGUGACUUGGCUCAUUAUCACCAAGUUUACUUGCAGGAUCAAAUUUAGAACCAUGGUUUGUAAUACUUUAUAUUACACAGUAGUCAUCAGUCUGCAUAGUUAAAAAAAACUAAACCUGUAAUCCUAGCACUUUGGGAGGCCGAGGCGGGCGGAUCACGAGGUCAAGAGAUCAAGACCAUCCUGGCCAACAUGGUGAAACCCCGUCUGUACUU
rnacentral:lncRNA from 1 species